rnacentral:tmRNA from 1 species
GGGGGCGAUUUAGGUUCGACGGGGAUAGGGUUGGGAGAGGAAGCGAGCCGCGGACCAUGGCCGCGUCAACAACAUGGAAAGGCAAUAACUGCCAACAACGAUUACGCACUGGCUGCGUAACUUAACGUAGCCCAUCCGCCCGGCCUAAGCCUGCGGGGCCGGAUACGGGUGUCAUAUUAGCAGGCUACCGGCAGAUGGAAGCCUUCACAUCCGCUGGGAAACCAAGAAGGCUAGUCUCUAUAGUAUCCAGCUUCUGGGAGACAAUAGAGGCGAAAUAUAAAACAGAAGCUACGCUCGUAGAAGCCUCUUCUGGCAUAUCUUCGGACGGGGGGUGCAAUUCCCCCCCGCCUCCACCA